AAGAAAUAUUCUCCUAAUGAAUCUGAUACCUCCCGUGACCAUCACUUUACCAAUUCUGAAGAAUCAUAUGCUGAGAAGGAUUACAAGGAAUCCACCAAAGACAGUGACAUGUUAACUUCUU